rnacentral:rRNA from 1 species
CCUACGGGAGGCAGCAGUGGGGAAUAUUGGGCAAUGGGCGCAAGCCUGACGCAGCAACGCCGCGUGAAGGAAGCAGGCCUUCGGGUUGUAAACUUCUUUUGUCAGGGACGAAACAAAUGACGGUACCGGACGAAUAAGCCACGGCUAACGACGUGCCAGCAGCCGCGGUAAUACGUAGGGGGCAAGCGUUAUCCGGAUUUACUGGGUGUAAAGGUCGUGGAGGCGGGAGAGCAAGUCAGAUGUGAAAGUCCAGGGCUCAACCCUGGAACUGCAUUUGAAACUGUUUGUCUUGAGUGAUGGAGAGGCAGGCGGAAUUCCAUGUGUAGCGGUGAAAUGCGUAGAUAUUCGGAGGAACACCAGUGGCGAAGGCGGCCUGCUGGACAUUAACUGACGCUGAGGCGCGAAAGCGUGGGGAGCAAACAGGAUUAGAUACCCGGGUAGUC